GUUGCUUUGUAGUCUGGACAGACACAAACAGAGACCUUUGGAAACAUGAUGCACGUCAGUCAGUCUUAUCAGUUAGGUAUCUUACAGACCUUUCAGUUUCAGACACAUGUCCGUCAGUCUUAUCAGUUAGGUAUCUUACAGACCUUUCAGUAACAGUUCCACCUCGUCGUUGCUCCAAGAUAAUAAAUCCCUGCUCUUACUUUUCACCGUUGUUGUUCUUUCUCCAAAGUAUUUUCUGUAUUUUCAACUUCUACAUCCAUGAUUUUCAACCGCAGAGUAACGUCAGACAAUCUGCUUCCUGUUUACACCGACACACACAUGCCCAGUGUGUGUAAAUGGUCAUGUGAUACGUGUUGUCAGUCAGACGUGUUAAUACGGACGGAGAUAAGUUCUGCUACUGGAGCUAAAACUCUUGUGUAGACGGAGAUU